UACGUAGGGUGCGAGCGUUGUCCGGAAUUAUUGGGCGUAAAGAGCUCGUAGGCGGUCUGUCGCGUCGAUCGUGAAAACUUGGGGCUUAACCCUGAGCUUGCGGUCGAUACGGGCAUGACUGGAGUUCGGCAGGGGAGACUGGAAUUCCUGGUGUAGCGGUGAAAUGCGCAGAUAUCAGGAGGAACACCGAUGGCGAAGGCAGCUCGCUGGGACGGUACUGACGCUGAGGCGCGAAAGCGUGGGUAGCGAACAGG
rnacentral:rRNA from 1 species